rnacentral:rRNA from 2 species
UCAACUUGAGAGUUUGAUCCUGGCUCAGAACGAACGCUGGCGGCAGGCCUAACACAUGCAAGUCGAGCGGCCCUUUCGGGGGUAGCGGCGGACGGGUGAGUAACGCGUGGGAACGUACCCUUUUCUACGGAAUAGCCUCGGGAAACUGAGAGUAAUACCGUAUACGCCCUUUGGGGGAAAGAUUUAUCGGAGAAGGAUCGGCCCGCGUUGGAUUAGGUAGUUGGUGGGGUAAUGGCCUACCAAGCCGACGAUCCAUAGCUGGUUUGAGAGGAUGAUCAGCCACACUGGGACUGAGACACGGCCCAGACUCCUACGGGAGGCAGCAGUGGGGAAUCUUAGACAAUGGGGGAAACCCUGAUCUAGCCAUGCCGCGUGAGCGAUGAAGGCCUUAGGGUUGUAAAGCUCUUUCACCGGGGAAGAUAAUGACGGUACCCGGAGAAGAAG